UUUGCUCUCUCCUCUGCAGUGUGUGUGCUGUGUGGCCGGGCAGAUGUCGACCCGGACGCCUUCGGGCACAUGCUGUCUGAAAGUGGGAUUCAUGUCCACGAGUUAUGCUUGUCGUUUGCCAACAUCACUUCUGAAGUAGCAAGACUAAGGCUGUCGGGAAGUGAGGGCCUCCCCGUUGCUGCCAUCAGACGUGCAGUCAAACAGGCCACCAAGCAGCAAUGCUUUGUUUGUGGCGAGAGGGGGGCUACCAUCACAU